GAUGAACGCUGGCGGCGUGCCUAAUACAUGCAAGUCGAGCGAACGGACGAGAAGCUUGCUUCUCUGAUGUUAGCGGCGGACGGGUGAGUAACACGUGGAUAACCUACCUAUAAGACUGGGAUAACUUCGGGAAACCGGAGCUAAUACCGGAUAAUAUUUUGAACCGCAUGGUUCAAAAGUGAAAGACGGUCUUGCUGUCACUUAUAGCUGGAUCCGCGCUGCAUUAGCUAGUUGGUAAGGUAACGGCUUACCAAGGCAACGAUGCAUAGCCGACCUGAGAGGGUGAUCGGCCACACUGGAACUGAGACACGGUCCAGACUCCUACGGGAGGCAGCAGUAGGGAAUCUUCCGCAAAGGGCGAAAGCCUGACGGAGCAACGCCGCGUGAGUGAUGAAGGUCUUCGGAUCGUAAAACUCUGUUAUUAGGGAAGAACAGAUGUGUAAGUAACUGUGCACAUCUUGACGGUACCUAAUCAGAAAGCCACGGCUAACUACGUG
rnacentral:rRNA from 1 species